AUGAGGAGACCGGUUACAUCUGUUUCCCCACACCCACCUCAUAAAGUCUCGGAUCUAAUCAACCAUGCUACCGCUUCUUGGAACGAACAACUAAUACGUACAAUUUUUAUUCCAAUUGACGCGGAGGCAAUUCUGCAAAUUCCUCUCUGCACUAGACAGGUUGAGGACUUUUGGGCAUGGAGCGAGGAUAGGCGAGGGAUUUUCUCAGUGCGAACGGCUUACAGAAUGAUACAACAGACAAAGUUAAGUCGAGAAUCUUGGCUGUUUGAACAAGGGGGGUCUUCUCACUCAGAUUCAGAUAGUCAUUCAUGGACAAAAUUGUGGGGAAUCAAUGUUCCAUCAAAAGUUAAAAUUUUCUUAUGGAGGCUGGCCAAGAAUUCCACACCAACCGGGACACUAUUGCACCACAGAAACAUGGCCAAGACAGACGAAUGCUGCAUCUGUGGAGCAGAAGAUACUUGGAGGCAUGCAUUGCUUAAUUGCACAGUUUCGAGAAGUACUUGGGCAAUGUCUUCCGAGCACAUUGUUGACGUUUUGAGCAGGAAUGAUGAAACAGAUGCGAAGAGAUGGAUAUUCUCUAUGCACGAGGCAUUAUCACAUGAUGAGUUUACCACCUUGGUUGUCACUCUCUGGGCGUUGUGGGGUGCUCGCCGAAAAGCCAUACACGAACAGAUUUAUCAAAGUCCUUUCUCAGUCCAUUCUUUUGCCUAG
rnacentral:rRNA from 1 species